rnacentral:rRNA from 1 species
UGGGGAAUAUUGCACAAUGGGCGGAAGCCUGAUGCAGCAACGCCGCGUGAGGGAUGACGGCCUUCGGGUUGUAAACCUCUUUUAGCAGGGAAGAAGCGAGAGUGACGGUACCUGCAGAAAAAGCGCCGGCUAACUACGUGCCAGCAGCCGCGGUAAUACGUAGGGCGCAAGCGUUAUCCGGAAUUAUUGGGCGUAAAGAGCUCGUAGGCGGUUUGUCGCGUCUGCUGUGAAAUCCCGAGGCUCAACCUCGGGCCUGCAGUGGGUACGGGCAGACUAGAGUGCGGUAGGGGAGAUUGGAAUUCCUGGUGUAGCGGUGGAAUGCGCAGAUAUCAGGAGGAACACCGAUGGCGAAGGCAGAUCUCUGGGCCGUAACUGACGCUGAGGAGCGAAAGGGUGGGGAGCAAACAGGCUUAGAUACCCUGGUAGUCCACCCGUAAACGUUGGGAACUAGUUGUGGGGACCAUUCCACGGUUUCCGUGACGCAGCUAACGCAUUAAGUUCCCCGCCUGGGGAGUACGGCCGCAAGGCUAAAACU